GGCCAGACUCCUACGGGAGGCAGCAGUGGGGGAUAUUGCACAAUGGGGGGAACCCUGAUGCAGCGACGCCGCGUGGGUGAAGAAGCGCCUCGGCGCGUAAAGCCCUGUCAGCAGGGAAGAAAAUGACGGUACCUGAAGAAGAAGCACCGGCUAAAUACGUGCCAGCAGCCGCGGUAAUACGUAUGGUGCAAGCGUUAUCCGGAUUUACUGGGUGUAAAGGGAGCGCAGGCGGUACGGCAAGUCUGAUGUGAAAGCCCGGGGCUCAACCCCGGUACUGCAUUGGAAACUGUCGGACUAGAGUGUCGGAGGGGUAAGUGGAAUUCCUAGUGUAGCGGUGAAAUGCGUAGAUAUUAGGAGGAACACCAGUGGCGAAGGCGGCUUACUGGACGAUUACUGACGCUGAGGCUCGAAAGCGUGGGGAGCAAACAGGAUUAGAUACCCUUGUA
rnacentral:rRNA from 1 species